UCGUGUCUUGUGUCUUGUGCGUGAGCUCCAGACCGGUUUGUAUGAUUAGAAAAGGAAGUCCACCUAUUAAGGUAGAGCGGUUAGUUUACUGAAAAACCUAAGUCCAUUCUUUAAAAUAUAAAUGAUAUAUGAUAUUCCACUUCUCAAAUGAAAAACACGAGAACAUACCUUAUUUUAUGUAGUGCAUUUUUUACUUGUGUUUUAUCUCUAAAUUGAAGUUCAGAUUUAAAUGCAUAGUAGUUCGGAUGCUAGUAAUGUAUAGUAGUUCAAAUCACAAAACUUUAAAAAGAAAAAAUAUUGGCGAAGAACUCCAGGAUCCUCUUUUCCCUGUCGCUCCUCCUAGGAAGUUCGCCCUGCGCCGCCGAGGAGUUCACCCGCACCUACCGCUGGGGGACGACGGCACCGGGAUGUAGUGGUCGGGAUCCUUGGAAAGUUUGGUUAUGUUGCAGCUUAGUAAUUUGACAGGGGCAGUGCGGAGCAUACCAGGCAGUCCACUCGUGCGGAUGUGCGAUAACGUCACCCACAUUCUCCCACCCUCCUGAACUAUCCGAACAACAACAUGCUGUUGAAGUUUCCAGCAAUUGUUUGUUUGAAGUUCAGACACGGUUCAGAAAAAGUUCAUUGCAUGUAGUUACCUUUUCCCCCCAGUAUUUUGCCUAUCAAAUUGAUGUAAAGUUCAGACUGAUCAUGUGCAUGGAAUUCAUUUUACUUUCAUGGCAGCACAAAGGUGAGCCAUGUUUAUUUGGCAAAACGAAAGAGUUAGCACUUGUAUAGUAUGUCAAUCACUUUAAACACCACCCUUUCUUAAACAAAUUGGGGGACAUGAUGCCCUUUGAUUCGGAAACCAUUCAAACUAUGACACAACAAAGUGCAGUUUUAUGACAGGUGUUGGCGACCUGGGAGUCCAUCGCUCGCAGCCAUGGGAAGUCCAUCAAUGUCGUCCACAAUGUCCGACAGGGAACAACAUCAUCAGGAGUUCGCUUCUUCUAAUCUGUUAAGCUCACUUCUCUUAAUUCGCAAAGUUCACAUCUACUACUAUUCACAAAUCGCAAAGUGAACUGAUAUGUUCAUUGGAUAUCAUUUGAAAAAAAUGCAGUAUACUUGCAAAGCUCACUUUCAUCUUCGAGUGAAAAAAUUCAUCAUUUAAAAAUGCAGUAUACUGAUGAACCUAUUUUCUUCCAUUUCUUGGCGUGGCAGAUUUCCGCAGUAGCAUGUCGCGCUGGUGGCGGUCAUGUCCUAAAAUUAUUGGCCGGGGCCCUGUGCUGCUGAUUCCUUGGCCGAUACCUUCUGCGAGUGGGUGCGUGCUCCUCCGGCAGGGUAGCAGCUUGGGCGAUGAAUUCAACAAGACUUGUAGAGCUUGGCUGGAAGACACUAUAAUAUUUUUGAAUUAGCUCAUGUAUUUAGGGGAGAAGUUUUUCUGCACUUCAACGUGGCUAUUUAGGAUUCAUACUUCCUUAUUUGGGAUAUGAACUUCAACGUGGCUCCAUGAUCGCAUGCCGUUGAGAAGUUUUGUAGCAUUUUUCCUCCGUGAAGUGUUACUGUGUCUGACUUUCACUUUUGCCUUUAACUCUGAUUACUUGUAAUAAUUUGGGGAAAUGAAUAACAUGUACUUGUGUUGAUGUGUAAUAGAAAAAAUAAGAAGUUCAUUUUUAUUUA